GAUCUGAUCAGAUAUGGUUAUCAAAAGAAAUCAAAAUUUUCACAAUUACGAUGAAUUCCUUAAUUAAAUAUGACUAGUUAAUCUGGAUUUCUGCCAUGCCAUGUUAAAUCCAUCAGAGAUUACUUCGAGAUGGCUCACCGCGAUAAAGGUCUUCUUAAUUCUACUCUUAUCCAAGACACGUUCGAGGGUCGAAGCCAGUUGAAAACACAGGAAAGCAAAUGUUACUUCCUCAAAGAUCUUGAGAUUAGAACGAGAAAAAAAAAAAAAAAAAAGAGCGUAAGGGCAUAAAACCAGAGCAACUGCUAACCUCUGUGCUACGAUAGUGUGUGAAUGGGGUACCAAAUAGCUUCGAUCUUGAUUUUUACCAGGGUCUCUUCCAUUCAUCUUGUCCACAAGGACCACAACUUCGUCGAUGUUGGUAUGAGAGGUAAUAAGCGUGUGGGAGUGUGUGUGUAUAUAAUAUGUUCUCUUUUCUUUUAAGUAUGAAGAGAAGUGGAAAAAGACAUGUUGAGCAUUGUUACCGGAUUCCAGAUAAAGAACAAGUUGCACUUCAAACAAUUAAUAAUGAUUGAUUGAUUGCAAUGUAAUAUUUUACCUGCAUUUUGAAAACAUUCAAAA